GUAGGGGGCUAGCGUUAUCCGGAAUUACUGGGCGUAAAGGGUGCGUAGGUGGUUUCUUAAGUCAGAGGUGAAAGGCUACGGCUCAACCGUAGUAAGCCUUUGAAACUGGGGAACUUGAGUGCAGGAGAGGAGAGUGGAAUUCCUAGUGUAGCGGUGAAAUGCGUAGAUAUUAGGAGGAACACCAGUUGCGAAGGCGGCUCUCUGGACUGUAACUGACACUGAGGCACGAAAGCGUGGGGAGCAAACAGGAUUAGAUACCCUGGUAGUCCACGCCGUAAACGAUGAGUACUAGCUGUCGGAGGUUACCCCCUUCGGUGGCGUAGCUAACGCAUUAAGUACUCCGCCUGGGAAGUACGCUCGCAAGAGUG
rnacentral:rRNA from 1 species